AUUGAACGCUGGCGGCAGGCCUAACACAUGCAAGUCGAGCGGAGCGGCGGACGGGUGCGUAAUUCCUAGGAAUCUGCCUGUUAGUGGGGGAUAACGUCCGGAACCGGGCGCUAAUACCACAUACUAUCAGAUUAGCCUAGGUCGUAUUAGCUAGUUGGUGGGGUAAAGGCCUACCAAGGCGACGAUCCGUAACUGGUCUGAGAGGAUGAUCAGUAACACGGGAACUGAGACACGGUCCAGACUCCUAAGGGAGGCAGCAGUGGGGAAUAUUGGACAAUGGGCGAAAGCCUGAUCCAGCCAUGCCGCGUGUGUGAAGAAGGUCUGCGGAUUGUAAAGCACUGUAAGUUGGGAGGCGUUACCAACAGAAUAAGCACCGGCUAACUUCGUGCCAGCAGCCGCGGUAAUAC
rnacentral:rRNA from 1 species